rnacentral:rRNA from 1 species
CCUCCAGAGUAUCAAUUGGAGGGCAAGUCUGGUGCCAGCAGCCGCGGUAAUUCCAGCUCCAAUAGCGUAUAUUAAAAUUGUUGCAGUUAAAAAGCUCGUAGUUGAAUUUCUGCUGCAUUGCUUGUGUCCCUCUGGGGUCUGUGCAUGUGGCUUUUUUCGGACGGAGUUUCUUUGUCUGAAUGUUUACUUUGAGAAAAUUAGAGUGCUCAAAGCAGGCUUUCGCCUUGAAUAGUUUAGCAUGGAAUAAUAAAGUAGGACUUUGGUUCUAUUUUGUUGGUUUUAGGUACCAAAGUAAUGGUUAAUAGGAACAGUUGGGGGCAUUCGUAUUUAACUGUCAGAGGUGAAAUUCUUAGAUUUGUUAAAGACGAACUACUGCGAAAGCAUUUGCCAAGGAUGUUUUCAUUAAUCAAGAACGAAAGUUAGGGGAUCGAAGACGAUCAGAUACCGUCGUAGUCCUAACCAUAAAACUAA